rnacentral:rRNA from 1 species
UACGUGAGGGGGCAAGCGUUGUUCGGAAUUACUGGGCGUAAAGGGGCGCGUAGGCGGCACGGCAAGUCAGGAGUGAAAGCCCUGGGCUCAACCCGGGAACUGCUUUUGAAACUGCCGAGCUAGAGUGCGGAAGGGGCAACUGGAAUUCCCAGUGUAGCGGUGGAAAUGCGUAGAUAUUGGGAAGAACACCUGAGGCGAAGGCGGGUUGCUGGGCCGACACUGACGCUGAUGCGCGAAAGCCAGGGGAGCAAACGGG